UUAAGGCCAAUCCGAUUUGAAUUAGUUGAAUAAGGCGAUUUUGGUCUAAGAGAAACUAAGCCGAUCACAGAGCUAAGCCGUUAACGAAAUAUAACUUUGACAGAAUUUGCUUUGACCUGCACUACUAGGUUUCUAUCAAAAGAACGAAGAGACUGACAGGUUUGAAUAGAGAAUCGUAAUCCUUCUAAGGAGAAAAAGAUCUUUAAAACUAGGCCCACAAAACUAACUAUGACUCAUCACCGGGGGAAAAAUUCUGCUUGGUGGUGCUCAAACGUUUUAAAUAAACACAUCUCCAUGUGGUACCACCAUGAUAUAACUAGAAAGACUACUGGCAAGCUGUAGAAAAACUAGAUGGUCUGCGUAGGUUUGGUGUAGACAGGGUAAACAUCAACACAAGGUUGAAAAGGUAUGUUAAACGCCUCUGUGAAACAGAGAGUAGUUGCCCUGACGUUUCCAGCGUUAGCCCUUCGUCGGAGCAAAACCGUUUUGCUCCGACGAAGGGCUAACGCUCGAUUGAUUGACAAAUGCCAUCCAUCAUCGCAUUACCACUCGUCUGAAGGAAUGAAGAAUACGGGUGUAUUAUAGGAUCACAGUCCAGCACCGAUACUCCUUUCUUAGCACCCUGCGAUAGGAAACCUGAGGAGGUUUAGACCAACCAUUUAACUCAUUUAACCCCCACGAAAAAACUAACGAACACGCGGCGCGGUGCACCUUCAUCUUCAAAAUACAAAUACAACAUACAAGUGAUCGUAUACCCCCCUUAGUCCCAUCUGGGCAUAAAAAUCCUUGUGUUAUCAAAGGGAGUCCCUACGCAAGCUCUGAGGGCUACACCCUGGUCUCGGCUUGUAUGACGGUUUUUUUCUGCUGGUGCGAAAACUCCACGGAAAUGAGAUGUACAUUUGAGUUAUAUUUGAACAGCGGUGAAAUCAACCCAUCCCACGAUAAAAACAGCUUUAUUCUCUAGAGUAUAAAUAAUGGAAUGGGUAAUUUUGUCUUUCAAAAUAAUCAGAUUUUUAAGAAUAUAUACAAAAUAAAACACCAAGCAAGUCGGAACCUCGGUUUUAUAUAGUUUGAGAAUGUAUAUAAUAUUAUUGAAUCGGCUGACUGGUGAUCAUUCUAUUUUACAACCAAAUAAUUACAUCUUCUUA